rnacentral:antisense_RNA from 1 species
UGUGAGUUGUCCACGAGGAUACAUGCAUAAGUAUGAGAAUAUAUACCCCUUCCUCAGCAAUUAGCACAGAGAAUUGAAUCAAGCAGUACAAAGGUUUUCAGUUUUAGGUUUACCUGAUUACCCUUUACUAUACUCUAAUGUAUCCCAAUACUUCUGUACUCCUAAAUCAACUGACAACCUUUAAGCAUAUGCUCUUUUGCUAGGUCUUGAAGAGGAGGCACAACUGCCUUCAUAUGAGUCCAGUGUGUGUUGUCAAAAUGUAACUUUUGAAUUGUUCUAAAGCCACAGUAAGAGAAGUAAGUGGUUCAAGUUUCGUACCUCUACAUUUCCACCAUUGUGCUUUCCUCUCCCUUUACCCCACAUACAAAACUGAGCCAGGCAAUGCCUAGUUUUUGUGUGCUGAACACAGCUGUACUUACAUCCACCAUCCUCUGGACGUGUUUGCUAAUGGUUUUUGGAUCAGGUUUGGGAGACACUCCAGAAGCCCAGUCCACUACUACUGGUGGCUUUGAAGGUGUUAGUGGCUAAAAUGAAAUAUUUAGAGAAAUCCUCAUGACUACAAUGCAAUAUUAUAACCUAUAGCUCUUUCUUUUCCUACUACCUGACGGUUACAUUUAUGGACAAUCUUCAAUUAUGUUCAGUGGCAAGGAGCAGAGAACCCACAGGCAAUUGAAAUCUCUACUAAUAAUUUUGGCUAACAAGGCAUCGUGCUUACGGUUUCCAGAGUGCUCUUCACAUACAUUAUCUGCAGCUACAGAUAAUUUGAAAUUCUCAAUCUGCCUGAGUUGCAAUUCCCUCUCCAUUAAACCUUUUGUCAGAGCUAUCAACAAAGAGUAAAGUGGAUCAUUUAUGUUUCCUCUCUAUUCUCCAGUCACAUUUUGCAGUAGAAAGAAAGGUGAGUAAGAAAAAGCUUAGCUAAAAGGCAGGAAGGCACAAGAAAAAUCAUCGGAAGCCUGGACAAGCUCUUUUCUAAAUACAGUCAUGCAUCACUUAAUGACUGGGAUAUGUUCUGAGAAAUGUGUCAUGAGGUGAUUUUGUCAUUGUGUGAGCACCACAGUGUGUACUUACACAAACCUAGAUGGUAUAGCCUGCUACACACCUAGGCUAUUUGGUAUAGCCUACUGCUCCUAGGCUACAUACCUAUACAGCAGGUUAUUAUACUCAGUACUGUAGGCAAUUGUAAUAAUGGUAUUUGUGUAUCUUAACAUAUCUAAACAUAGAAAAGGUAAAAAUAUGGUAUAGAAAAUUUUUUUUAAUGUUACACCUGUAUAGGGCACUUAACCAUGAAUAGAGCUUUCAAGAUUAGAAAUUACUGUGGCAAGUCGUGAGUGGUGAGUGAACGUGGAGGCCUAACAUUACUGUAUACUCCUAUAUACUUUAUAAACACUGUACACUUAGACUACACUAAGUUUCUUAAAUUUUUUCUUCAAUGAUAAAUUACCUUAUUUUACUGUAAAAGCUUUUAAUUUUUUUAACUUUUACUCUUUUGUUAUGACACUUAGCUUAAAGCACACAUUGUAUAGCUUAUAGCUGUACCAGUUAUUUCCUUUACAGCCAUAUUCUAUAAACUUUUUUCUAUUUUAAAAAUGUUUAAUUUUUUAAAUCUUUGUUAUAAACUAAGGUACAAUUACACUCAUUGGCCUAUGUCUAUAUAGAGUCAAGAUCAUCAAUAUCACUGUCUUCCACUCCACAUCUUGUCCUAUUGGAAGGUCUUUAGGGGCAAUAACAUGCAUGGAGCUGUCACCUUCUGGAGGACUUGCCUGAGGCUGUUUUACAGUUAACUUUUCUAAGUAGAAGGAAUGCACUCUAAAAUAAUGAUAAAAAGUAUUGUAUAGUAAGUGCAUAAACCGGUAAUACUUAUUAUCAAGUAUUAUGUACUGUACGUAAGUGUAUAACCGAGACUUUUUACAGCUCAGUAGGUUUGUUUACACCAGUAUAAUCACAGACAUAGUGAGUAAUGUGUUGUGCUACAAUGUUACAAUUGUUCUGUCACUAGGCAAUAGUAAUUUUUCUGCUCCAUUAUAAUCUUAAGGGACCACUGUGAUAUAUGAGGUCUAUCACUGACCAAAAUGUCAUUUUGUGGUGCAUGACUGUAUUUGAAACUCGGCCCAAAUUAAAAUCUCUCUGAAAAAA